rnacentral:rRNA from 1 species
UAGUCCGGAUUUACGUGGGUGUAAAGGGAGCGUAGACGGUUCUGCAAGUCUGGAGUGAAAGCCCGGGGCUCAACCCCGGGACUGCUUUGGAAACUGUGGAACUAGAGUGCAGGAGAGGUAAGUGGAAUUCCUAGUGUAGCGGUGAAAUGCGUAGAUAUUAGGAGGAACACCAGUGGCGAAGGCGGCUUACUGGACUGUAACUGACGUUGAGGCUCGAAAGCGUGGGGAGC